AUAUAUUCUAAACACAGUGAAUACAGCACAUCAAACAGGAAAGCAGAUAUGUUCUAAAUACAGUGAAUACAGCACCUCAAACAUGAGAGACAUUAUUUUCUGAGAGACAGUAAAUACAUGAGAGACAGUAAAUACAGAACAGGAGUACAGAGACACAGGGAAUUAAACACAGUGAAUAAAACAGGAGAGAAGAUUAGUUGUGAAGACAAUGAAUAUAGCAAAUGAAACAGGAGACCAGAUUAUUUAUAAACACAGUGAAUGCAGCACAUCAAACAGGAGAACAGAUUAGUGCUAAACACAGUGAAUACAGCACAUCAAGCAGGAGAACAGAUUAGUGCUAAACACAGUGAAUACAGCACAUGAAAUCAUUAAGAUCAGCUGGAGGUGAGAACAGGAUAGUAAAGAGCACACCAGCUAACUCACAGGGCUAAAGACAUAAAUAUCUAUCAAACACUAGAUUAACUCACAGUGCCAGAGAUAUUAUUCUCAGCUAUACAAACAAUUACUUCACAGGCUAAAUCCUUAACCUCUAUUAAACACUAGAGUUUACCUUGCAGGGCUGAAGAUUUUCAUCUCGACUAAAAUCUUAAUUAAACACACAACAUUAAUUUACAUGACUAAAUCUUUAUUUAACACAAGAGAUGAAAUCACAGGGCAAUACUUUUAUGUCCAAUAAACAUUAAAUAUUAUUUUACAGGUAAUCAAGUGAUGUGUGGAAAUCUAGUGAGCUGUGGAAAUGUGUAGGAAGGUGUGGAAAUAUGUAGUAAUGUGUGGUAAUCUGUAGUAAGGUGUGGUAAUCUGUAGUAAGGUGUGGUAAUAUCUGGUGAUGUGAAGAAAUCGGUAGUGAGGUGUGGUAAUAUUUGGUGGGGUUUGAUAAUCCUUGGUUAACUGAGUAAAUCUCUGGUGAGAUGUGGUAAAACCGAUGUGGGAUUUGUGUACCCAAUACUGAUUCAGAUUUUGAGUGGAAAUAUUUACUGAUGCGUUUGUAUCUGUCAAUUAUUACAGCUGAAAUGUAUUGAGCUUAAAACCAGUCUACGAAGAUAUUCAGAAAGUAGAUUUCCGAAAUUAAAACAAAUGACAUUUUCUGUGUCCAUUCUAUAUUACUCUAUAACAACUUCUUCCAUACAAUGAAAUGUAC
ensembl:lncRNA